rnacentral:rRNA from 1 species
UAUAAGCGUAUACCAAAGUUGUUGCAGUUUAAACGCUCGUAGUCGGAAUUUGGCAGUUCCGGAUGUGUGCACGUCGUGUGCGCACUUCGCGGGGAUUGCUUUUGUGGUCUUGCGUAGGAUGAGGCACUUUUAUUAGUGAACGUCCUCACGCAACCACUUUUUACUGUGAGAAAAUCAGAGUGCUCAAAGCAGGCAUUUGCCGUGAAUGUAUUAGCAUGGAAUAAUAGAAUAGGACUUGGUUCUAUUUUGUUGGUUUGUUGGGACUGAGUAAUGAUUAAGAGGGACAGUUGGGGGCAUUUGUAUUUCGGUGCUAGAGGUGAAAUUCUUAGAUUACCGAAAGACAAACUGCUGCGAAAGCGUCUGCCAAGGAUGUUUUCAUUGA